UCGAGCGAUACUUACACGGUAGCAUCUCUUGCCAGAGGCGGACCGGUGAGUAAUGCCUAGGAAUCUGCCUGGUAGUGGGGGAUACGCUCGGAAACGGACGCUAAUACCGCAUACGUCCUACUGGAGAAAGCAGGGGACCUUCGGGCCUUGCGCUAUCAGAUGACCCUAGGUCGGAUUAGCUAGUUGGUGAGGUAAUGGUUCACCAAGGCUACUAUCCGUAACUGGUCUGAAAAGAUGAUCAGUCACACUGGAACUGACACACGGUCCAAACUCCUACGGGAGGCAACAGUGGGAGAUAUUGGCAAAUGGGCGAAAGCCUGAUCCAACCAUGCCACGUGUGUAAAAAAGGUCUUCGCAUUGAAAAGCACUUUAAUUUGGGAGGAAAGGCCAUUAAAUUAAAACUUUGCAGUUUUGACGUUACCGACAGAAUAAGCACCGGCUAACUCUGUGCCAGCAGCCGCGGUAAUACAGAGGGUGCAAGCGUUAAUCGGAUUUACUGGGCCAAAAACCGCGCCCAGGCGGGUUUGUUAAAAAAGAAGUGAAAUCCCCGGGCUCAACCUGGGAAACUGCUUUCAAAACUGACAACCUAAAAUAUGGGAAAAGGGGGGGGGAAUUUCCUGGGUAACCGGGAAAAUGCCUUAAUUUAGGAAGGAACCCCCCGUGGGGGAAAGGCAACCCCCCGGAACUGAUUCUGCCCUUGGGGGGGGAAGUGGGGGGGCCCAACCAGGUUGGUUCCCCUGGUAGUUCCCCCCCGUAAACGAUGUCAAUUAGCCGUUGGGAGCCUGAAGUUUUUAGUGGCGCAGGUAACGCCUUAAUUUGCCCCCCUGGGGAGUACGGCCGCAAGGUUAAACUUAAAUGAUUGGGGGGGGCCCCCACAAGCGGUGGAGCAUGUGGUUAAUUUGAAGCAACGGGAAGAACCUUCUCAGGCCUUGACAUCCAAUGAACUUUCCAGAGAUGGAUGGGUGCCUUCGGGAACAUUGAGACAAGUGCUGCAUGGCGGUCGUCAGCUCGUGUCGCUAGAUGUUGGGUUAAGUCCCGUAACGAGCGCAACCCUUGUCCUUUGUGACCAGCACGUAACGGUGGGCACUAUAAGGAGACUGCCGGUGACAAACCGGAGGAAGGUGGGGAAGACGUCAAGUCAUCAUGGCCCUUACGGCCUGGGCUACACACGUGCUACAAUGGUCGGUACAGAGGGUUGCCAAGCCGCGAGGUGGAGAUAAUCCCACAAAACCGAUAGUAGUCCGGAUCGCAGUGUGCAACUCGACUGCGUGAAGUCGGAAUCGCUAGUAAUCGCGAAUCAGAAUGUCGCGGUGAAUACGUUCCCGGGCCUUGUCACACCGCCCGUCACUCCAUGGGAGUGGAUUGCUCCAGAAGUAGCUAGUCUAACCUUCGGGAGG
rnacentral:rRNA from 1 species